GGGGUGCGAAAUGGCGGCUGCGAAUUCGCUUUUAGCGGACGGAGCCGCGGCUCCUCAGCCCCCUGCCCUGCAAACUGCGCUGUCUGGUUGGGAAGAAAUAAAGCCUUCAAGGCGGUUUUUGCUGCGCCCUGAGGCAGUGGGAGUCUCAAAGGGAGGAGCGCCCCAUACAGAUCAGCUAUGCUGGCAGCAUCUGAUUGAGGCACACGCCAACAUGGAGACAUUGUGUUAAGGGGUUGGAAUGCACCUUUUCCAAUCCGCUGCCUUGCGCUUCCCACUAGACCAGCUGCUGGUGAAGAGUCCCUCCCCAGCUUCCCUGUGGCCUCCUUCAGACAGCGGGAUGUGCUGUGAGGUCUCUGCAGAGCCAGAUCGUGUUGGUAUGUGCCAUCAUGGUGCUUCCCUUCACAGGCUUCCCACCCUGCUUGGGGGCAAUGGGAAUGCUGCUUUCUCCUUGCUUUUGUCAGCCAGGUAUCCCUGUGGUCCAAAUAAACAGCCAUCAAAAGUAUAAUUAAAACCAGCAGCCUGAAUUCGCUUGCUGUCACCCAGCCUCUUACUCCUGCCUUGCCCCUUGCACUGAUGCAGCUAACUGGAAAAACAAACUAAACCAGAGUGAAAAAAAAAAAAAAAAGCAAGCAGUGUCUUCCUGACUGGAUCAGCAAACUGAACCAGCUCGGCUGAGGGACAGAGCAGAUCCCUCGUGGGCUCCCCAGGACUGGGCAGAGCAGCCAGUCUUCUAAACCCACAAAAAAGCAACCCUCUUCUAAACCCACAGUCAAGGCCUGCUCCAGCUGCAAGAAGGGCCCUUGAUAAUGCUUCCCACAGCCUGGGGAGCUGGGCAUCCCUGUGGCCUCAGCAUAACACAAACUUAUCCCAUCUAAACAGCUUGGCCUCUGCCAGCUUACCCUGUCCUCUCUGGGACCUUCCAGGUACUGCGCUUCAUCUGAGGGCACACAUGGUUUUGCCUUAUUAGGUCCUUACCUACAUGUUCAUUUUUCAAGGACCAGACUUGUUGAUAACGUUCAAGGUUUACUUGCAGCAUAAAGGCUAGGAGGAAGUGGAUCUGUUACAUUUCACUUUGCCAGCAUAACACACUUUUCUCCUUUCCUUAUAAGACCUUUUUAAAAGCCCAGCUAAGAAGCCCCAGUUCCUGUGAUUCUCUUCACAAACCACGUCAGAACUUGAUGCUUCCACAGGGCGUUUGCCCCUCCACAAGUGAGCACAGCUUCAUUUGGAGCCUCUGGAGCCUCUGCUAUCACCUCAUCAGGAGCCAGGUUCUUAGGUAAUUCCCAACCUGGAGCCAGGAGCACCCAGACUGAAUCAGCAAGGCAGAAAGCCACCCCCAAUUUUGGCCAGACUAAACAAGCGACCUUUACUCUGGCUCUAAAGCCGCCUUGCCUAGGCAGGGCUCAGUGCGCUGCCCUUAUCUCAUGAAUGCACAUAAAGUGUUGACGAGGCACCUCAACUUUCCAACCAGCAGCCAGCUACUAACCUGGGAAAACACACACCAAAAAAAAAGAGCUUUGUGAAGAAUAUUUAAAAGGAGGUUAAGUAAGACUGUCUGGAACAGGAGAGCUAUUUCAGCAGGCAGGGUGUUUUUCUUCUGGAAGCUGAAGGAUUGGGGGGGGAGGAAGGAGUAGCUUGGAGCUAGCAGGUUCUUCCUCCCCCAAUCUGUUAGCAUUUCAGGCUAGCCCAAGUUUUCCUGGAGCUUUGCCAAUUCCCAUUGAUUUCGGACCUUUUUUUCUCUCUCCCAAGCACGUAGCAUAUAAUAUUUGGCAUUAACAAAUUGUCUCCAUGACUUAGCUUUCCUGGUUUUGCCAUACUAGUUUCCUCGCUUAAAAAUUGAAUUAAACAAAAUAAAGCAGCAUCAAGAGUUCAAGCACCAGCUCUCUGCUGUGAAUGUUUGGAAGAGUGGGAAACUCCAAAGGAUGUCUCAUUCUCUUGGGACCAGGUCCAGGUCACCACCUUCUGCUUUUGCUGAGCUUCUGCUGAGAUUUGAGGGUUUUUCUGCAGACAAACCUCCCAGAUAAGGAACCAGAUGAGGCUUCUCAGGAAGGAUCGUGGCUUGUCUGUAGCAGCUGAUAUACAGCUGAGUCACUUGGCUGCGGCUGAGGGAGAAGGGAGCUUUCCCCAGCCUAAACUUGUUUUUUAGCCCCAUUUUCUGGGAGGUGCGUGCUCCGUUUGGAGAAAGUGAGUAGGAAGAGCUCGGAAAGCUGCAGCCAAGUGAAGGACUUUUCUUCACACAUGACUCACUUUCCAGCUGCCUCCCCUACCAACCAGUUGGACUGGGCCAGCACCAAAGCCCGGCUGCUUUUGAUGCUCAGUUUUGUCGUGCCUACAGCACACAAAUUCCUUCCACAUCACCUCGCCCUCCUGGAGCCCAAUUCUGUGCUUUGCAUAAGUGGGGCACGUGAGGAAUCCCUGUUUGGCAAUCCCUGGAGGCCAGCCAGAGGCCCCUGCAGGCUCUGCUUUUGCAGCUGCAGCCAGCUCUGCAGGAGAAAUGUUCUCUUUGCAAAAGAAAAAAACCAAAACAACUGAAAUAAAUAAAGAGAGGCAUUUUCCACAGCAGCCUGCCUUUCAGACUCUUUUGCAUUUCCACUCAGACUGCAGCAGGAGGAGGAGAAGAAGCAAAGCCAGCCACAAAUUACAGCCUGGCAGCCUCGUGCAGAGCCUUGAGCACGUCUGAAGUUUAUUCCAGCCCAAGAGCAGCCUCCCUGUGAUUCAGCAAAUGGUUUGGCUUGUGGGUCCUGCUGGAGUGGAGACAGACACCCACACACACCCACCCUUCCUCACCAGUGACUGACAUUCUUCCCAGAGCAAAAAGCAUCAGAGAAUGUUCCAAAUGGGAUGGCAGUGCUGCAGGGACUGCAUCCAAGGGCAGAGCUGCAGCUCAGCAGCACCAGCAGCAGCCAGGCCAUGUGGGACCUGUCUCACUCCUCCUGGCACACACACACACACACAAAAGAAACAACCAAAAAAAUACAACCCUUACCCACAGAAACAGAUGAUUCUUGACUGGAUCAGGGGCCUGAAUCAGCCCAGGGUGCAGAGAGCAGCACAUGAUGAGCCAGCUGGGCUGUAAGAGCAAGACUACAUCAGCUUCAAACUGAAAGAGAGUAGUUUUAGGUGAGAUAUGAAGAAGAAAUUCUUCCCUGUGAGGGUGGGGAGGCCCUGGCACAGGCUGCCCAGAGAGGCUGUGGCUGCCCCAUCACUUCAAGUGUUCCAGGCCAGGUUGGACAGGGCUUGGAGCAACCCAGUCCAGUGGAAGGUGUCCCCACCCAUGGCAGAGGUUUGGAACAAAAUGGCCUUCAAGGUCCCUUCCAACCCAAACCAUGCUGUGAUUCUAUGACCCUGCACAUUUUCAGCCUCUCGGCCCCAGCAUCAGCUCAAACAGCCUCACAGUGCCAAGCCCAGAGGCUGAUCUGGCUUUAGGGGUGAUCCCUUCCUCCCCCCAGGCAGUUUUCCGGUUCCUGGCCGAACUCCUGUGGCACAGCACGGGGUGAAAGCACCGAGAACCAUCCCCCUGUGGCAGAGAACCAUCCCCCUGUGGCAGAGAACCAUCCCCCUGUGGCAGCUGUGCCAAGCAGAGCUCCCCAUUAACACUGCCAAGGCCAUGGGCUGCAUUCCUUCCCACCUUCAGCUCAGCCACAACUUAAUUAUCAAAGGGGGUCAAUCAAGCACAAUGGAUUUUCCAAGCAAAGCAUAACAUAAAACCUCAAAUCACUGCAGCUAAUUCUCAUUUCAGUACUUUCUUUGUCAGCUGUCACAAGUUGUGCAUUUUAGCCACAAGCUGUGUUUUGUUUCCAGGUUUCCUCAGCAUUUUAGGUGCUGCUUACUAGGAUUAGACUCCUAUUUCAAGGCAAACCAUAUCCCAAGGCAACUGAUACUCCAAACCAAGUAGAUCAACACAAAGAGCAUCAGCACCCAUAAAGGCUUUGCCUUCAUGAAUUAGGAUUUCUGAGCAGCAGCAAGAUCUUGAACAGCAACAGGGUUGCCAGAAAAGCAGAUGAUUCCUCCUGAAUACAAGGGAAUCAACAGUGCAGCAUCAACUCAUCAGUGUUUUAAAGGAUACGCACCUAGAUGCAGAAUUCUGUUCCUGCUCCCAUUGUGUCAUCUUGUCAGGGUCAUAAGCAGUAAGAUUGCAGCUAGAUAAAUCUCUGCCACAAUCUUUGAAGAAGGGUUUCUUUUUAUAAAUGCAAAGUCAUAUGUUUCUCUAAAUCCUAUUUAACCCAACCCCCAAAAACUUUAGAACUAUACAUGUAGGUUAUCCAGGAAGAAAACAAACAAAAAUAUAUAAUAGAUUUUUAAAUAUAUUUCAGUACAAAUACAUAAAACAAAAAAUAUAGAGAAAAUAGGGGGCUGAGAUCCUUUCAUUAGGUCCCUGCUUUGCAGGUUUUCAAGGCUUACACUUAGAAGUUUUUUUUUGGUUUUUUUUUUUACACUUAUGGCUUUUUCAGCAGUGGAGGUUAUUGCCAUCCAGUGUUUUCCAUCUGCUGUGACUCAUUUGGGCUCACACAGAAGUGAUUAGAAAAUCACGGGACUCCAGGAGCUACAGCUUUAAGGAAAAGCACAACGAAUUACAGCUUCUGCAGGAAAAAUAAGAGUUGGCAGAGAACAGCUACAAAGGCUGCUGUAAGGAACCAGCCUGAGGAAACGCACCCACCCCAAAACUGUCUUCACUGUUGAAAUACUUGCUUUCUCUUCCUUCAUUAUCCAAAGCAAAAAGGAAGGCAGUAAUUAUUGAGGAAGAAGGUUAAAAACCAAAGAGUUUUGACUGGAAACAAAAGCCCAAGUGAGCUGUCCUCAAAACUUUGGAUGAGCUAAGAGUUGAUGUGUAGGAAAAAGAGAAGGAAUAGAACAGGAAGAUCAUACAGUUUAAUACCCUAAUAAACAGCCUGAGAAGUCAGGCAGGGAUUGCUGCUUUCCUGCUCACUGGAUUCCAUGCUAUUGCAAGGUUUAUAGAUCUUUUUUUGGGUCACAAAAAGCAUCGGGCAGCACCUCCUCACGUGUGAUCUCAGCUCAGCUGCACACUCACAGCUCAGGACUUUUAAGCCAGGCUGUGGAUUUCAGUGAAUUUGCAGCAGCAGCCAAUUACUGUGGCCAAAAGUGGCACGGGUUGGGAUUAAUCAAAGUCACAAGGCCACAGGGGGGAAGUGGCAAGUGCAGCCACUGUGGCUUCCACCACGAGGUUUUUCUUCAUACCAGUGGAUACAACCCACACCCAGAGUCGUGGGCAUCUGAAUAGCUGCCCUCUGCCCUCUGCUACAAAAGGGUAAAAAUACAGCCAGAGACUCAAUCUCUUUCUUCCACUGUCCCAGCCAAGUCUGGGAUUUUUUAACAGUUUGGAGCAAGUUGCCCAGUGUGGUGUUCAUCCCUUCCUCACUCCAAGUUUGAUGUGCAUCCCACAGCAAACUUCCCGAGCCUCUUCUAGGGUUUCUUCACCUUCCAAUUUCAUAAAGCAAAAGCAUGUUUCAGUCCAGGGAAGAAAACCACCAGGAUUGUGGCACAAGGAGGGCAAACAGCUAUGAUUCAAUGCCUUUGGAUUUCACAAGAGGACUCCCUGGAGCAAUCUCCUUUCCUGUGUCCUUCCCACUGUUCACCCAACAGCAGCUGGGCAAACACUGGAACAUCUCCUCAAAAGAGCAAGCACAGGCAAAAGAGAUGCUUUAUGAAUUCCAUGGGCAGUGCUGACUAAUGAAGUAUUGGCAGCCUGGUCUUCCAUGGCAAUCACAGUGGCAGCCUGCAGCCUGGUUUUCCAUGGCAGUCACAGUUUCCAUGAUUAUCACCUCAUAUG
ensembl:lncRNA